rnacentral:rRNA from 1 species
CCCUUAGAUGUUCUGGGCAGCACGCGCGCUACAAUGGUCUUCGCAAACGGAUGCAUUCUCGAAGGAGAAUGCCAAUCUUGGAAUCUAUGCCUUGGUCGGGACAGUUGCUUGCAAUUUUUCGACUCGAACCAGGAAUUCCUUGUAAUCGUGAUUCAUCACACCACGAUGAUUACGUCCCUGCCCUUUGUACACACCGCCCGUCGCUGCCCGGAACUGAGCCGUUUCGAGAAGACUGAGGAUUGCUGACUUGAGGCCUUCACGGGCUUCUAGUCGGUGAAAAUCAAUUUAAUCGCAGCGGCUUGAACCGGGCAAAAGUCGUAACA